rnacentral:rRNA from 1 species
GACGAACGCUGGCGGCGUGCUUAACACAUGCAAGUCGAACGGAAAGGCCCUGCUUGCAGGGUACUCGAGUGGCGAACGGGUGAGUAACACGUGGGUGAUCUGCCCUGCACUUCGGGAUAAGCCUGGGAAACUGGGUCUAAUACCGGAUAGGAGCCAUUUUUAGUGUGAUGGUUGGAAAGUUUUUUCGGUGUAGGAUGAGCUCGCGGCCUAUCAGCUUGUUGGUGGGGUAAUGGCCUACCAAGGCGGCGACGGGUAGCCGGCCUGAGAGGGUGGACGGCCACAGUGGGACUGAGAUACGGCCCAGACGCCUACGGGAGGCAGCAGUGGGGAAUAUUGCACAAUGGGCGCAAGCCUGAUGCAGCGACGCCGCGUGGGGGAGGACGGCCUUCGGGUUGUAAACUCCUUUCGCUAGGGACGAAGCUUUUUGUGACGGUACCUAGAUAAGAAGCACCGGCUAACUACGUG